rnacentral:lncRNA from 1 species
AGGGUUGCUCAUGACCUGCACAGGUGGGGGCAGGGGCUUCAAAUGUACACAGUGUCCCACUGAUUGUGUGCUCACGGGCGCACACACACAUAUGACCCCACCUGACCUCAUCUUCCAGGACAAGUGAGAGUUAAACGUCCCAGUUCAAGUUCAUUCCAUCUCUUAGCUUUGUACCUGACUCUUCAAAGGUUGGAACAGCUGCAAGGCUGUCUCUUGCUCUCAAGAGGACACCCCUCCUCCCUGUUCUUCUUUGCUAAGCUGCAGGGAUGCGGCUGUGCUUUCAGGGACUGCUGGUCCCUGGGCUGUAGGGGACAGGCCAUCUUGCUCUCAACCCUUCUCACCCCCACCCCCCCCCCCAGUAGUCCUGUAGCUGGGGUCCCAGGGUCUGCUCACUACACCUAAGCCAGGCAAGGGGAUUGCAACCUCCACAGCAGGGCCCUGCUUCUGGGUUUCCCAAUCUGGGGACAGCUGCCCAACGGUCUAGCUAUGACCCCAUAAUUACCCCUGGAGUGGCUGGCUGCUCUGCAGUUCUUGGUUAGAAGGCUGAUCCCUUGGCAAGUUCACAAGACACUCUCAGCUUCCUUCUGGUUCCCUUCCAUGCCGCUGGGAGUCCAGGAGCCUGGGGGCUCUGCUCCAAGCCCCUUUUAUGCUUCAUGAACUUGUGUCACUCAGGGGACAGCCCUGCUAUGGAAGUUGGCCCUCAGUUCCAGAAGCGCAGGGAAUGAGGUAAGUGGCAGCGUCGCCUUUGACCUUUGACUUUCUUUCUUCCCCGCUCCUGGGGUCCCACAUGAGCUGCCAAGGCCCCUGAGUUUCAUGAAACCUGGCAGCAUUCUCUGACACCCCUCCCCCAUCCUGAGGUCCCUCUGUCCAGCGCCAGCUCACCUUCUUGUCACAUUCAGUGUCUGCUCCACCUUGCACCAGCUUAGAAUAAGCCCCAGGGCUCAGAGCUCCAAGCGCUGCACCUGAUGUAUACAGGAAAACGUAUAGAACUUAGCAAACAUUUUCUUCUGCCGCAGAGCCUGGCUUCUAAAGCUCUGGGCUGUGGCUUGGAGCUCCUAGCCUGGCUGCACGUUCUCUUUCUCUUUGUGCCUUGUUACCACCCUGAUCUCCUGUGGCACUGGGUGCCUCUGGCAGGUGAGCGGGAAGGUCACAGAGAAGAAAAGAAGAAAAAACCUGCAUGUGCCACUUUUCGAGAGGAGGAGCUGCAAAGGGCGGGGAGUUGGCCUCCGUGCCAGACCCUGCAUACAACCUCUCAUUUUAACUCAUUUGAGAAACUGACUGAGGCCCUGGCGUUUCUGUCCGCAUCUGACGCAGCAAGAUGAAGUGACUUGCCCAAGGUCGUCCAGCCGGGCUACAGUGAGCGUGGGUACAGACCAGACCGCCUGACUCAAUGACCGUGACCAGGCCCCGACACCACGCUCCUGAGUCUGAUGAUAAAGCCCACCAGGACAUACAUCUGUCCCAAGACACUGCAGGGCCCCCUGGGAAGGAAAGAACACGGGCCCACGGGCCCCGCAGUGUGCUCUUCAGACUAUUAACACGCAUCAUUCUGUUUCUUUUGGUACCAAAUAAAUCUUUCACUCAAGAAAAAGAAGAUUUCUUU